rnacentral:rRNA from 1 species
CCUACGGGUGGCAGCAGUCGAGAAUCAUUCACAAUGGGGGAAACCCUGAUGGUGCGACGCCGCGUGGGGGAAUGAAGGUCUUCGGAUUGUAAACCCCUGUCAUGUGGGAGCAAAUUAAAAAGAUAGUACCACAAGAGGAAGAGACGGCUAACUCUGUGCCAGCAGCCGCGGGAUACAGAGGUCUCAAGCGUUGUUCGGAAUCACUGGGCGUAAGGCGUGCGUAGGCUGUUUCGUAAGUCGUGUGUGAAAGGCGCGGGCUCAACCCGCGGACGUAACAUGAUACUGCGAGACUAGAGUAAUGGAGGGGGAACCGGAAUUCUCGGUGUAGCAGUGAAAUGCGUAGAUAUCGAGAGGAACACUCGUGGCGAAGGCGGGUUCCUGGACAUUAACUGACGCUGAGGCACGAAGGCCAGGGGAGCGAAAGGGAUUAGAUACCCCUGUAGUC